rnacentral:sRNA from 1 species
AACGCCGAAGACAGCAGGUGCCUUAUGGCAUAAUGUGAUGAACGCCUGCCGAGGAAGUAAGAUCAGUAUUUGUGAUACUAUGCUCUCUGUCUUUGGACAGGGAGCUUUUUUCU